rnacentral:rRNA from 1 species
CCUACGGGAGGCAGCAGUGAGGAAUAUUGGUCAAUGGUCGUGAGUCUGAACCAGCCAAGUAGCGUGAAGGAUGACUGCCCUAUGGGUUGUAAACUUCUUUUAUAUGGGAAUAAAAUGUUCCACGUGUGGUGUUUUGUAUGUACCCUAUGAAUAAGGAUCGGCUAACUCCGUGCCAGCAGCCGCGGUAAUACGGAGGAUCCGAGCGUUAUCCGGAUUUAUUGGGUUUAAAGGGAGCGUAGGCUGAUUUUUAAGUCAGCGGUGAAAGGUUGCGGCUCAACCAUAAAAUUGCAGUGGAAACUGGCAGGCUUGAGUGCGGUAGAGGUAGGCGGAAUGCGUGGUGUAGCGGUGAAAUGCUUAGAUAUCACGAAGAACUCCGAUUGCGAAGGCAGCAUACGGCACUGCAACUGACACUGAGGCUCGAAGGUGUGGGUAUCAAACAGGAUUAGAUACCCUAGUAGUC